UGGACUGAUGGUCCUUGCAUAGUGUUGGCUGAAUCAACUCUGCAGGUUCACAUCAGCCCUAU
rnacentral:pre_miRNA from 1 species